rnacentral:tRNA from 1 species
CGGGGUGUAGCGCAGUUUGGUUAGCGUACUUGACUGGGGGUCAAGGGGCCGUGAGUUCGAAUCUCACCACUCCGACCA